rnacentral:rRNA from 1 species
GAUGAACGUUGGCGGCGUGCUUAACACAUGCAAGUCGAACGGAAAGGCUCCUGCUUUCAGGGGUACUCGAGUGGCGAACGGGUGAGUAACACGUGGGUGAUCUGCCCUGCACUUCGGGAUAAGCCUGGGAAACUGGGUCUAAUACCGGAUAGGACGAUGGUUUGGAUGCCAUUGUGGAAAGUUUUUUCGGUGUGGGAUGAGCUCGCGGCCUAUCAGCUUGUUGGUGGGGUAAUGGCCUACCAAGGCGUCGACGGGUAGCCGGCCUGAGAGGGUGUACGGCCACAUUGGGACUGAGAUACGGCCCAGACUCCUACGGGAGGCAGCAGUGGGGAAUAUUGCACAAUGGGCGCAAGCCUGAUGCAGCGACGCCGCGUGGGGGAUGACGGCCUUCGGGUUGUAAACUCCUUUCGCUAGGGACGAAGCGCAAGUGACGGUACCUGGAGAAGAAGCACCGGCUAACUACGUG